AACCAUUCUGCAUCCCCCGGCCGGGGAGAGUGCCGGGAGACCGCGUUUAGAGGAUCAGUGGCGGCCGCAUCCGCGGCCCCGCGCGGUGCGGGCGGCGGGCAGCAAGGUGCCCGAGCCCCUCCUGCUCCGGAGGCAGCCCACGGCACCAGGCUCCAGAGACCCAACUUCCUGACUUCAGCGGUGUGAAGAUGGUCCAGUACUUUUUGAUGCGGGCAUGCAGCUGUCCCCCAAGCAGCUCUCAAUCUGGGGCACGGCUUUGGGAAAGAAGGUUGCUAAGCCUGCUAAAUCCUGUGCACACCAACACCCCAUUCAUCUGGAAACCUGAGAGAGAGCAUGUGUGCACGCUCGAGCUGGGGGGAGGGGCAGAGAGAGAAAGAAUCAAGUGUGGAGGCUGCCGCUGGGCUCGAUCUCACGACCCUGAGAUCAUGACCUGAGCCGAAAUCAGGGCCACCCAGGUGCCCCAGCUUGGAAGUUUUCUAUUUCCCUUCCUGCAGUUUCGGUCCUCGCUUCUCCAGGAGCCUUCCCAGACCAUCCCCACCCCCCCAACUUUAUUUCAGAAGGGGCGAUCUUUGCUUUUGUAACGUGAGCAUGUUUCCACCAUGGUGCUUAUACUCUACGGCAAUUUAUCGGUGAUUUGUCUGUCUCUACUGCUGGACUGUGAAUUACUCAUCUCUUCCUGGCAAUCUGGAGCUGCUCAAUAAAUGUGUGUGGAAUG